rnacentral:rRNA from 1 species
AGAGUUUGAUCCUGGCUCAGGAUGAACGCUAGCGGCAGGCCUAAUACUUGCAAGUCGAACGGUAAAUAUUUAGCAAUAAAUAUGAGAGUGACGUACGGGUGCGUAACACGUAUGCAACCUACCCUUUACAGGCGGAUAGCUCGGGGAAACUCGAAUUAACCCGCCGUAAUAUAAUUGGAUGGCAUCAUCUGGUUAUUAAAUCUACGGAGGUAAAGGAUGGGCAUGCGUCUGAUUAGUUAGUUGGCGGGGUAACGGCCCACCAAGACGAUGAUCAGUAGGGGAACUGAGAGGUUGAUCCCCCACACUGGCACUGAGAUACGGGCCAGACUCCUACGGGAGGCAGCAGUAGGGAAUAUUGGUCAAUGGAUGGAAGUCUGAACCAGCCAUGCCGCGUGCAGGAAGAAGGCCUUCUGGGUUGUAAACUGCUUUUGCCAGGGGAUAAAAUGACCUUGCGAGGUUAAUUGAAGGUACCUGGUGAAUAAGCCACGGCUAACUACGUGCCAGCAGCCGCGGUAAUACGUAGGUGGCAAGCGUUGUCCGGAUUUAUUGGGUUUAAAGGGUGCGUAGGCGGCUUAUUAAGUCAGUGGUGAAAUACUCUAGCUCAACUAGAGGGGUGCCAUUGAUACUGAUGAGCUUGAGUACAGAUGAGGUAGGCGGAAUUGACGGUGUAGCGGUGAAAUGCUUAGAUAUCGUCAAGAACACCUAUAGCGAAGGCAGCUUACUAGGCUGUAACUGACGCUGAGGCACGAAAGUGUGGGGAUCAAACAGGAUUAGAUACCCUGGUAGUCCACACUGUAAACGUUGAUUACUCGCUGUGUGCGAUAUACAGUACGCGGCCAAGCGAAAGCGAUAAGUAAUCCACCUGGGGAGUACGCCGGCAACGGUGAAACUCAAAGGAAUUGACGGGGGUCCGCACAAGCGGCGGAGCAUGUGGUUUAAUUCGAUGAUACGCGAGGAACCUUACCUGGACUAGAAUGCCCUUGACCGAUCCAGAGAUGGAUUUUUCCGCAAGGACAAGGAGCAAGGUGCUGCAUGGCCGUCGUCAGCUCGUGCCGUGAGGUGUUGGGUUAAGUCCCGCAACGAGCGCAACCCCUAUUUUUAGUUGCCAACAGGUUAAGCGGACUCUAAAAAGACUGCCCGCGCAAGCGGAGAGGAAGGAGGAGACGACGUCAGGUCAUCAUGGCCCUUACGUCCAGGGCUACACACGUGCUACAAUGGCGUAUACAGAGUGUUGCAAACCAGCGAUGGUAAGCCAAUCACAAAAAGUACGUCUCAGUUCGGAUUGCAGGCUGCAACUCGCCUGCAUGGAGUUGGAAUC